AGCGAACGCUGGCGGCAGGCCUAACACAUGCAAGUCGAGCGCUGUAGCAAUACGGAGCGGCAGACGGGAGAGUAACACGUGGGAACGUACCCUUCAGUACGGAACAACCAGGGAAACUUGGGCUAAUACCGUAUACGUCCGUAAGGAGAAAGAUUUAUCGCUGAAGGAUCGGCCCGCGUCUGAUUAGCUUGUUGGUGAGGUAACGGCUCACCAAGGCGACGAUCAGUAGCUGGUCUGAGAGGAUGAUCAGCCUCACUGGGACUGAGACACGGCCCAGACUCCUACGGGAGGCAGCAGUGGGGAAUAUUGGACAAUGGGCGCAAGCCUGAUCCAGCCAUGCCGCGUGGGUGAUGAAGGCCCUAGGGUUGUAAAGCCCUUUCGGCGGGGAAGAUAAUGACGGUACCCGCAGAAGAAGCCCCGGCUAACUUCGUGCCAGCCGCCGCCGUAAUAC
rnacentral:rRNA from 1 species